AAGAAGGGAAUGGGUGUAACCUGUCCUCAAGUAAGCACGGCCUGGUGAGCAUUAAGUGUAACCGGUUAGAUUAGUGGAAUGCUGGGAAAGCCCCACCAGGAAGGAGUGUAAGUAGAUGAGAAACUAUGCCAUAAGCACCUUCCUCCCCUUGGGCUACAUUCCCAUGCUUUUUGGCUUUCAUUAACUCUCAGGCUCUGUAGACAGGUCUAUUGUCAGUCAAACCUAAACUGGGUAGAAAAUCCACAGAUUACCAGGGACACCUCUUUCUCCAUUCUUGUGGUUCCCAUUCAGAUAUUUUUACCCUAAAAACAAUGCCUCUCUUUUGUAACUCCCAGAAGUUUCUGAAAUAGGUCAAGAAAGGCCACUCACUUAACUCCAAAGUUCACUACCUGACAAUUUGUCCCCAGUCUGUAUCCCAACUAUAUCCAGCCUCACUCAUCAGAGAAGAUUAUACAAGGAACUCAGUCCAACUCCAGAAAAACAAAAAUAAAACUAACACUCACACACCAUUACAAAGUUUCCACACAAAAAUUACAGUUCUUAGAGAAUAUAAAAGUUCCAGCAAUGCAAUCAGUCUUCCAUUGUUGCCACUGAGAAAGUAAAAUCCUGAAAUCAAGUAUCUCCCACUUUGCUACUUAAAGAAAUCGGGCCAGGCGUCAUGGCUCACACGUGUAAUCCAGCACUUUGGGAGGUCAAGGCGGGUAGAUCACAAGGUUAGGAGAUUGAGACCAUCCUGGCUAACAUGGUGAAAGCUCGUCUCUACUAAAAAUACACAAAAUUAGCCAGGCAUGGUGGCAUGCACCUGUAGUCCCAGCUACUUGGGAGGCUGAGGCAGGAGAAUCACUUGAACCUGGUAGGUAGUGGUUGCAGUGAGCCAAGAUCACGCCACCGCACUCCAGCCUGAGCAACAGAAUGGGACUCUGUCUCAAGAAAAAGAAAAAAAAAACGGAAAUCAAUUUUGCAAAAUGUCCUUUCCAUGUUUCUUUUCAUUCUGCACACCCCAAUCUGAGGAUCGCUCUCCAGAAUCUGGGGGGAGUCUUGGUUUCUUUCAAUAGUUACAACAUGGACUGGCUUGUUGAGACUGGUCUGACUCUUCCGAUCUCUCUCAGGAGUCUCCUCCGUCUGGAGUCAGCAGCCCCUUGCACCUCAGAGACCCAUCAGGCUUAAGUUUCCAAGAAGCCAGCUGGACCCCAGGG
rnacentral:lncRNA from 1 species